GAAAGACUGGUCUGGACGUCAUGCGAACAAAGGUUAUCACUGUAUCUCAGUACAUGGAACAAUAAUGAACCAACCACAAAUUUCCAGUGGUGUUUUACUUUUCCAUUACCUUUCAACCCAGCCCAUCCAAUUAAUGGGUACAGUUUGAUUGCUGUGAUUGAAAAUAUCUGAAAUUAAUUUUAAGGAAAAAUGUGAGAGUUACAUUUGAUCUGUGUCUUUCUCUGUUAUGUGAUACGACCAUCUGUCCGAUCAGCAUAUUCCCUGACUGCCUGCUGAUACCAACCAAGUGUGCCAAGUUCAUUCCAGGCUUCCAAGGAGGACUCAUAACUCAAGAGUAAUAAAGUUAAAAUAGAUAUCUGGGGAAGAGGGCAUGAUUACAAAGGUCAAUGUUAUGCCCCAGAAAAAGGACCUAUCAGUCGCAUCAAAAACCUACAGUGGAUUGAAGUGGUAUCAGAAAAUGAAUGCAAGGGAGAUAAGUGUUGAUCAUUCCAAAACCUAAUAAAUACAAAAAGAAAGGGAUCUCGCUGUGCAGCUUAAAUCUAGGUGCUGUAAUAAGUUCUCUUUUAAUAUUGAACAGA